UGGGGGCACCCUGAUGGAGCACGCCGCGUGCAGGAUGAAGGCCUUCGGGUUGUAAACUGCUUUUAUAAGUGAGGAAUAUGACGGUAACUUAUGAAUAAGGAUCGGCUAACUACGUGCCAGCAGCCGCGGUCAUACGUAGGAUCCGAGCGUUAUCCGGAGUGACUGGGCGUAAAGAGUUGCGUAGGUGGUUUGUAAAGCGAAUAGUGAAAUCUGGCGGCUCAACCGUACAGGCUAUUAUUCGAACUCACAAACUCGAGAAUGGUAGGGGUCACUGGAAUUUCUUGUGUAGGAGUGAAAUCCGUAGAUAUAAGAAGGAACACCAAUGGCGUAGGCAGGUGACUGGACCAUUUCUGACACUGAGGCACGAAAGCGUGGGGAGCGAACCGGAUUAGAUACCCGGGUAGUCCACGCCGUAAACGAUGGAUACUAGUUGUUGGGGGUAUCGACCCCCUCAGUAACGAAGCUAACGCGUUAAGUAUCCCGCCUGUGGAGUACGGUCGCAAGACUAAAACAUAAAGGAAUUGACGGGGACCCGCACAAGUAGUGGAUCGUGUUCUUUAAUUCGAUGCUAAACGAAAAACCUUACCAGGGUUUGACAUCCUUGGAAUUUCUGCGAAAGUAGAAAGUGCUUUAUUGAACCAAGUGACAGGUGAUGCAUGGCCGUCGUCAGCUCGUGUCGUGAGAUGUUUGGUUAAGUCCAUCAACGAGCGCAACCCUUGUGAAUAGUUGAAUUUUUCUAUUCAGACUGCCCCGGUAACGGGGAGGAAGGAGGGGAUGAUGUCAGGUCAGUAUUUCCCUUACAUCCUGGGCUAGAAACACGAUACAAUGGCAAGUACAAUGCGCAGCGAAGCCGCGAGGUGGAGCCAAAUCGCACCNAAANCCUUGUCCCAUUU
rnacentral:rRNA from 1 species